rnacentral:rRNA from 1 species
AGUCGAGGGGUAUAAGGAGCUUGCUCCUUAGAGACCGGCGCACGGGUGCGUAACGCGUAUGCAAUCUACCUUUUACAGGGGAAUAGCCCAGAGAAAUUUGGAUUAAUGCCCCAUAGUAUAUUUGAAUGGCAUCAUUUGAUUAUUAAAGUCACAACGGUAAAAGAUGAGCAUGCGUCCCAUUAGUUAGUUGGUAAGGUAACGGCUUACCAAGACGAUGAUGGGUAGGGGUCCUGAGAGGGAGAUCCCCCACACUGGUACUGAGACACGGACCAGACUCCUACGGGAGGCAGCAGUGAGGAAUAUUGGUCAAUGGGCGCAAGCCUGAACCAGCCAUGCCGCGUGCAGGAUGACGGUCCUAUGGAUUGUAAACUGCUUUUAUACAGGAAGAAACACUCCCUCGUGAGGGAGCUUGACGGUACUGUAAGAAUAAGGAUCGGCUAACUCCGUGCC